rnacentral:lncRNA from 1 species
CGUCUAACAGUGGAAUAUGAGUAGCACAUUUGUAUGCACAACCACAUUGCAGUAGCUAAAGGGGCUUGUCCCCCUCUCCCUCAUGUCAUUAGCUAUCAAUAAUCAUUACCUAGUUAGCCAUUUGUAGAACAAGGUAAACACAGAGAAAACGAGAUGGAUUAAUUCCUCAUAGAUGAGAUGUAUCCUCUCAGCAUUACUCAAAAAAGGAUACCUGAUAGAUGAGAUGUAUACUCUUAGAAUUACUCAAAAUCACCGAGUUCACUUUCACAUACCUCAAGAUCAGGUAGAACAUUAUAUCUCUAAUUAUCCUCUACUCAAAAAGCAUUUCAAUUACUUGCAAAACCUGCCAUCACCAAGACAUCAACACUUGUAGCAAUAGACAUCGUAUAUCACAAUAUAUAUCAUCGGCUCAUCUCAUGUUGCCUAAAUCUACAUGGACCAAUCAAAUAAUUGUAGCCAUAUGAAAGAAAAAACUCAAACAGUUCAAAGAAAGGCAAAGAAUCUUCGGGCUCUGUAGCAACAAUGGGAUUGCUCUUAUUUUCGACAAACUCCUUUUGUGUAGAAGCAGUCAAUCAUGUCUAAAAAAAUCUGGAAACAGCUAGCAGGCUAACAAAUAUGGCAUUAUUACUGCACAUAACUGAAUGCAAAUUACAGUAAGGGGCAUAACCUGUGAAGAUGGCCAUCUGUCCUUGUUGCUGCAACUCAACGAACAUGUGAAAGGCACACCUGCAGUAGGAAGAUUCAGCAGCCACAUGCAGCAAGUCAGGAGUCGUGUAUGAGUAAAUCAGAGAAAGGAGAAAAGAUGAAAUCCAGAACAUAAGCGGGAAGAGAAAUUAGAUCCUUUUUACAUCAAAUCAAGGCUAAAAACAUGUUGAAACAUACCGGUGGGUGUCUAAGGAUUUAUGUUUUCCAGACCAAAGAAGAAAACGAUCUAGUUUUAAAGAAGAGAGUGAUUACCCUACCUCCAAUCAUCAGGGGCGUGCAGAUCUGAGUAGGGGGUCGAUCCGGAGAAACCAGCGUGCACCA